CGCACAUUGCGCCCCUUGGUAUUCCGGGGGGCAUGCCCGUUCGAGCGUCAUUUCACCAAUCCAGCCCGGCUGGGUAUUGGAUCCCGGGGGUGACCCGGGUCCCAAAGUCGUCGGCCGUGACGGUCCUGAAUCGCAGCGUCGUGAUUAACCAAUUCGCUGGCGAAGACGGGCGUCCCGCGCCGGAACACUUCUUUUAAAGGUUGACCUCGGAUCGGGUAGGGAUACCCGCUGAACUUAA
rnacentral:misc_RNA from 1 species